UGGUGGAGUGAUUUGUCUGCUUAAUUGCGAUAACGAACGAGACCUUAACCUGCUAAAUAGCCGGCCAGCUUUGGCUGGUCGCCGGCUUCUUAGAGGGACUAUCGGCUCAAGCCGAUGGAAGUUUGAGGCAAUAACA
rnacentral:rRNA from 1 species